rnacentral:rRNA from 1 species
UACGUAGGAUCCGAGCGUUGUCCGGAAUUACUGGGUGUAAAGGGCGUGUAGGUGGGUUCCUAAGUCGGUGGUGAAAUCCCGCAGCUUAACUGCGGAAUUGCCUUCGAUACUGGGGAUCUUGAGUGCGGCAGAGGGAGAUGGAAUUCAUGGUGUAGCGGUGAAAUGUGUAGAUAUCAUGAAGAACACCGGUAGCGAAGGCGGUCUCCUGGUCCGUAACUGACACUGAUGCGCGAAAGCGUGGGGAGCAAACAGGAUUAGAUACCCUGGUAGUCCACGCCUUAAACGAUGGGUACUAGGUGCUGGGCCGCAAGGUUCAGUGCCAAAGCUAACGCAUUAAGUACCCCACCUGGGGAGUACGAUCGCAAGGUUGAA